GCCCGGGUGGCGGAACUGGCAGACGCGCCGGUCUCAAAAACCGGUUCUCGAAAGGGAGUGCGGGUUCGAUUCCCGCCCCGGGCACCA
rnacentral:tRNA from 1 species